rnacentral:rRNA from 1 species
UGACCUGCGGAGGGAUCAUUG